rnacentral:rRNA from 1 species
GAAAACUGCCGUUGAUACUGUCUGACUUGAAUAGUAAUGGGAAGUAACUAGAAUAUGUAGUGUAGCGGUGAAAUGCUUAGAUAUUACAUGGAAUACCAAUUGCGAAGGCAGGUUACUACGUACUUAUUGACGCUGAUGAACGAAAGCGUGGGUAGCGAACAGGAUUAGAUACCCUGGUAGUCCACGCCGUAAACGAUGGAUACUAGCUGUUCGGACUUCGGUUUGAGUGGCUAAGCGAAAGUGAUAAGUAUCCCACCUGGGGAGUACGUUCGCAAGAAUGAAACUCAAAGGAAUUGACGGGGGCCCGCACAAGCGGUGGAGCAUGUGGUUUAAUUCGAUGAUACGCGAGGAACCUUACCAGGGCUUAAAUGUAGAUUGACAGGUUUGGAAACAGACUUUUCUUCGGACAAUUUACAAGGUGCUGCAUGGUUGUCGUCAGCUCGUGCCGUGAGGUGUCAGGUUAAGUCCUAUAACGAGCGCAACCCCUAUUGUUAGUUACCAGCGCGUUAAGGCGGGGACUCUAGCAAGACUGCCGGUGCAAACCGUGAGGAAGGUGGGGAUGACGUCAAAUCAUCACGGCCCUUACGUCCUGGGCUACACACGUGCUACAAUGGCAAGUACAGAAAGCAGCUACCUGGCAACAGGAUGCGAAUCUCCAAAGCUUGUCUCAGUUCGGAUUGGAGUCUGCAACUCGACUCUAUGAAGCUGGAAUCGCUAGUAAUCGGAUAUCAGCCAUGAUCCGGUGAAUACGUUCCCGGGC